rnacentral:pre_miRNA from 1 species
UUAACUCAAAUUUGUAUGGAAUUGGAACGUUUGCCUACCUUUGCCGGUAGGGGCGCUGUUCCAACUUCAUACAAUUUUGAGUUA